rnacentral:lncRNA from 12 species
GGGUUGGGGCGGGGUUAACGCGAUUGGGGGCGUGGCAUAGCGCUGGUGUGGGCGUGGUUUCGCUCUAGGGGGCGUGGCCAUAUAGGCACGUGUGGGGGUUCCCGGGGUGGGUCACUAUGGGGGCGUGGCUUUGUGUCAGUGGGCGUGGCCUUAGGGAAGACCAUCAGGGCCGGGGUUUACUGGGUGGGGCUGGGAGUGUGGCAACAAGGUGUGGAUUGGGGGUGUGGCUUGUGACCCCACCCCUCGUCCCCCCACAGGUGCCGUGGCCAAGGCAGCGCCCAGGACCCCUGACCCCGCCCUUGGUGAGGGCAGGGCGGGGCAGGGCGGGGCUGCUCAGGUGUGCGGGCACCGCCCCGGCACCCCCUGCUGGUCACCGGUGUGGCAGAGAUGGACCCAGCGAGGACAGUGGACACGGUGUCCCUGAGCUGUCACCACAGUGGGGAGGGUGAGGAGGAAGAUGUGACAGUGGCGGCAGCCAUGCCACCAUCCGUGUGUCACCGUGCUGGGAAUGAGGAGGAGGAGGACAAGGAGGUGACAGUGGCGGCAGCCAUGACACCAUCCGUGUGUCACCGUGCUGGGAAUGAGGAGGAGGAGGACAAGGAGGUGACAGCAGUGGUGACAGACACGGAGCCCCUGAAGCGGUGCCCCAGUGAGGAGGAGGAGGCGGAGGACAUGAACGCAGUGGUGGCCACGCCAUCCCAAGGCACUGAGCCCAGCGAGGAGGAGAUGACCAUGGCAGCAACAUCCCCAGCACAUCCUCCUGUAGGGGAUGAGCAGGAGGUGACAGCACCAGUGACAUCCCCAGAGUGUCACCCUGAGGGGAAAAAGGAGGCGGUGACAGCAGCAGUGACAUCCCCACCGUGUCACCCUGGUGAGGAAGAGGAGCUGACAGCGGCAGCGACAUCCCCAGAGUGUCACCCUGAGGGGAAAAAGGAGGAGGUGACAGCAGCAGUGACAUCCCCAGCGCGUCACCCCAGUGAGAAAGAGAAGGAGGCGACAGCACCAGUGACAUCCCCACCGUGUCACCCCGGUGAGGAAGAGGAGCUGACAGCGGCCCCCCCCCCCCCCCCCCCCCCCCCCCCCCCCCCCCCCCCCCCCCCCCCCCCCCCCCC